rnacentral:rRNA from 1 species
AGUGAACGCUGGCGGUAGGCCUAACACAUGCCAGUCGAACGGCAGCACAGUAAGAGCUUGCUCUUACGGGUGGCGAGUGGCGGACGGGUGAGGAAUACAUCGGAAUCUACUUUUUCGUGGGGGAUAACGUAGGGAAACUUACGCUAAUACCGCAUACGACCUACGGGUGAAAGCAGGGGAUCUUCGGACCUUGCGCGAUUGAAUGAGCCGAUGUCGGAUUAGCUAGUUGGCGGGGUAAAGGCCCACCAAGGCGACGAUCCGUAGCUGGUCUGAGAGGAUGAUCAGCCACACUGGAACUGAGACACGGUCCAGACUCCUACGGGAGGCAGCAGUGGGGAAUAUUGGACAAUGGGCGCAAGCCUGAUCCAGCCAUACCGCGUGGGUGAAGAAGGCCUUCGGGUUGUAAAGCCCUUUUGUUGGGAAAGAAAAGCAGCAGGUUAAUACCCCGCUGUUCUGACGGUACCCAAAGAAUAAGCUCCGGCUAACUUCGUG